UACGUAGGCAGCGAGCGUUGUUCGGAGUUACUGGGCGUAAAGGGUGUGUAGGCGGUUGUUUAAGUUUGGUGUGAAAUCUCCCGGCUCAACUGGGAGGGUGCGCCGAAUACUGAAUGACUUCGAGUGCGGGAGAGGAAAGUGGAAUUCCUGGUGUAGCGGUGAAAUGCGCAGAUAUCAGGAGGAACACCGGUGGCGAAGGCGGAUCUCUGGGCCUUACCUGACGCUGAGGCGCGAAAGCUAGGGGAGCAAACAGG
rnacentral:rRNA from 1 species